UUUCUCGCUCUGUAUCUCUAACACGUUUAUUUCAAAUAAAUGUUGCAGAAAAUUAAUUCCACAUAAUCACGAAGAAAAAACUGAAUAAAUCAACAAAUAAAAACAAAAAUGCAACGAUUUCAAAUAAAUGCAAAAAGAAAAAAAAGAGGUAAAACAAAGUAAACGGCCAUGCGUAAUAUAAUCUAAGAAAUAAAAGACGAUUAUACCCUCUCGAAAUUAAAAAAAGC
rnacentral:lncRNA from 1 species